GAUGAACGCUGGCGGCGUGCCUAAUACAUGCAAGUCGAGCGAACAGAUGAGGAGCUUGCUCCUCUGACGUUAGCGGCGGACGGGGGAGUAACACGUGGAUACCCUACCUAUAAGACUGUGAUAACUUCGGGAAACCGGAGCUAAUACCGGAUAAUAUAUUGAACCGCAUGGUUCAUUAGUGAAAGAGGGUUUUCCUUUUACUUAUAGAUAGCACCGCGCCGCAUUAUCUAGUUGGUAAGGCAACGGCUUACCAAGGCAACGAUGCGUAGCCGACAUGAAAGGGAGAGCGGCCACACUGGAAAUGAGACACGGACCAGACACCUACGGGAGGCAGCAGUAGGGAAUCUUCCGCAAUGGGCGAAAGCCUGACGGAGCAACGCCGCGUGAGUGAUGAAGGUCUUCGGAUCGUAAAACUCUGUUAUUGGGGAAGAACAAAUGUGUAAGUAACUAUGCACGUCUUGACGGUACCUAAUCAGAAAGCCACGGCUAACUACGUG
rnacentral:rRNA from 1 species